GAUGAACGCUGGCGGCGUGCUUAACACAUGCAAGUCGAACGGGCUCAUAUUGAAACCUAGUGAUGUAUGAGUUAGUGGCGGACGGGUGAGUAACGCGUGGAGAACCUGCCGUAUACUGGGGGAUAACACUUAGAAAUAGGUGCUAAUACCGCAUAAGCGCACAGCUUCGCAUGAAGCAGUGUGAAAAACUCCGGUGGUAUACGAUGGAUCCGCGUCUGAUUAGCUGGUUGGCGGGGUAACAGCCCACCAAGGCGACGAUCAGUAGCCGGCCUGAGAGGGUGAACGGCCACACUGGUACUGAGACACGGACCAG
rnacentral:rRNA from 1 species